GUGCACGCUGGCGGCGUGCCUAAGCCAUGCAAGUCGAGCGGGGCAGGUUUAUACCUGUUCAGCGGCGGACGGGUGAGUAACGCGUGGGUGACCUACCCGGAAGAGGCGGACAACCUGGGGAAACCCAGGCUAAUCCGCCAUGUGGUCCUGUCCUGUGGGGUAGGACUAAAGGGUGGAUAGCCCGCUUCCGGAUGGGCCCGCGUCCCAUCAGCUAGUUGGUGGGGUAAAGGCCCACCAAGGCGACGACGGGUAGCCGGUCUGAGAGGAUGGCGGGCCACAGGCGCACUGAGCCACGGGCCCCACUCCUACGGGAGGCAGCAGUUAGGAAUCUUCCGCAAUGGACGGAAGUCUGACGGAGCGACGCCGCUUGGAGGAGGAAGCCCUUCGGGGUGUAAACUCCUGAACUGGGGACGAAAGCCCUGUGUAGGGGGAUGACGGUACCCAGGUAAUAGCGCCGGCCAACUCCGUG
rnacentral:rRNA from 1 species